rnacentral:piRNA from 1 species
GGUCUAGUACUGUAUCUACCCGGGAAG